GACGAACGCUGGCGGCGUGCUUAACACAUGCAAGUCGAACGGAAAGGCCUCUUUCGGGGGGUACUCGAGUGGCGAACGGGUGAGUAACACGUGAGUAACCUGCCCUUGACUUUGGGAUAACUUCAGGAAACUGGGGCUAAUACCGGAUAGGAGCUCCUGCUGCAUGGUGGGGGUUGGAAAGUUUCGGCGGUUGGGGAUGGACUCGCGGCUUAUCAGCUUGUUGGUGGGGUAGUGGCUUACCAAGGCUUUGACGGGUAGCCGGCCUGAGAGGGUGACCGGCCACAUUGGGACUGAGAUAAGGCCCAGAAUCCUACGGGAGGCAGCAGGGGGGAAUAUUGCACAAUGGGUGGAAGCCUGAUGCAGCAACGCCGUGUGCGGGAUGACGGCCUUCGGGUUGUAAACCGCUUUCGCUCAUGACGAAGCUUUGUGUGACGGUAGUGGGUAAAGAAGCACCGGCUAACUACGUG
rnacentral:rRNA from 1 species